CGGUGGAGUAACCUUUUAGGAGCUAGCGUCGAAGGUGGGACAAAUGAUUGGGGUGAAGUCGUAACAAGGUAGCCGUAUCGGAAGGUGCGGCUGGAUCACCUCCUUUCU
rnacentral:rRNA from 1 species